UAUCUGAUUUGAUAAUAUGGAUGGUAUGUCAGUGUAGGAGGGGCCGUCAUGUAAUCCAGUUCAAAACAGAUAACAUGGGUCAUCUACUUUGAUAAUAUAUGGCAGUGUAGAAGGAGCCUCAGAUGCCUGUGGGGCCCUUUCUACACUGUCAUAUAAAAUCCAGAUGAUCUGAUUUGAACUGGAUUACAUGGCAGUUAGAGACUCAUAUAAUCCAGUUCAAAGCAGAUUGUUGUUGUUUAUUCCUUCAGUUGCUUCCGACUCUUCAUGACCUCAUGAACCAGCCCACACGAGAACUCCCUGUCAGCUUUCGCCACCUCCAGCUCCUUCAAGGUCAAGCCAGUCACUUCAAGGAUACCAUCCAUCCACUUUGCCCUUUGUCAGCCCCUCUUCCGUUUCCCUUCCAUUUUUCCCAGCAUCAUUGUUUUCUCCAAGCUUUCCUAUCUUCUCAUUAUGUGGCCAAAGUAUUUCAUCUUUGCCUCUAAUAUCCUUCCCUCCAGUGAACAGUUGAGAAUUAUUUCAUGGAGUAUGGACUGGUUUGAUCUUGCGGUCCACGGCUCUCUCAGAAUUUUCCUCUAACACCACAGUUCAAAAGUGAUAAUGUGGAAUAUUUGCUUUGAUAAUCUGGAUUGUAGGGCAGUGUAUAAGGGGCCUGAGAUAUGACGAUAUGGGGUUCGGUCUACUGGUUUUGUGGGGUGGGGACUAAGGGGUACAGGCAGCUUCCAGUUAAUUGUGGGGGGAAAUGAACCUUUCUUUCCAUUGCCAUAGAAGCGGAAUUGAUGCCAAGCAUAACAGGGAGGAAGGAGAUUAGUUUAUUGGCUUCCCAGAUAACAAUCACCAUCUGAACAUUAGCUUCAUCUGCAGGAACUUCUUCUUCUCAAGGGCAAAUAAUGUACAUGGUGUUUGGCCACCAGUUACUCAAUGGUGCCAUUAAUUCUGAUGAAUGUGCCUUUUAAAAAAGGAGUCAUCUAAACAUGCCAAGCAAUGCAUUUUCUGAACCAAGACAAUAUCAUGGUCUGUGAGUUGAUGGUUGUGUUUCCUUGGUUUAUUAAUUCCAAUAUCUGACUGACAUCCUGAGAAGGAUAAAAAGUCAAAUAGCACAAGGAGUGAAGUCAUUUUCUAUCUGUCCAUACCCAAAGGUUAUCCACUGAGGAGUAGUUUUUUUCCUGGGAAUCUGGGGGUCACCGAUGGCUCAGGCUUGGCUAUUCACAGUCUGUGUCCUCUUUUGCCUCAUCCCAAAAGGAGAUGCAAUAAAAUGUGCAAGAUGUUCUUUUUCACGUGGACAAAAAUGUUUUCCUCCUCGAAGCUCAUGUGAAAUUACCGGCAAGAAGACUGUCUGCACCAUAACGGAGAAGUAUUUAUUCGGUAAAUUAAGGAAAACAAUAAAGGACUGUAGUGAUGGCCCUUGUGGCCGGUCAUGGAAUAUUCUCAUAGUGGCUCGGAAGAUUAAAUGCUGUUCUCGAAACUUUUGCAAUGGAAAACCGUAAUCCCUUUAUGGAGAUGCCGGAGAUUGAGAUUGAAGCAACAGCAGCCACAGAUUGAGACAGAGAAAUAUGAUUUAUUCCUCAUGAGUUUCCAAUUAAAUUAUAGUUGCGCACACCACAUCAUCAAACACCAAUGCAGUCCUUUGAUUGGUCUAUUCCCGGUGUUUCUGGCAACCCAUUUUAAAAGAUUCUUAAAAAAACAAACAAACCAAAAAAACAAACAAACCAACAUGAAUGUUCAAUGAAACAGCAUGACAGUUAUAGCCUUGAACAAAGAUUUGGUUCUCACUCCACUAUGAAUCUUGGAUUGUACUCUGCCCUAUAUCUCAGGGUCUGAACCCUGAUUAUCUUCUUAAUCCAUAUUAUAUGGCAAUGUAGACUCAGGGCUCCUCCAUGCAAUCAUAUAAUCCAGAAUAUCAAGGCAGAUAAUCCACAAUAUCUGAUUUGAACUGGGUUAUCUGAGUCUACACUGCCAUAUAAUCCAGUUCAAUGUGGAUUUUAUAGAGCUGUGUGGGAGGGACCACAUAUAAACCAGUCCAAAGCACAUAAUUUGGGAUCAGCUCCUGGCAUAUAGGGCAGUGUGGAUCCAGCCCAGGAAUGUCUUUGAAAACAUUCCUGACCAUGAGUGCAUCUACACUGUAGAAAUCACACAAGUUUGACACCAGUUUAACUGCUAUGGCUCAAUGUUCUGGAAAUAAAAGAGCUGUAGUUCUGUAAACUCUGUAGACUUCUCUCCAAAAGAGUGCUGAUGCCUUAUCAAACUACACCUCCCAGGAUACGAUAGCAUUGAGCCAUAGAAAUGAAAGUAGUGUCAAAUUACAUUUUUUUUUUACAAUUUAGGUCCACCCAAAAUUGGAUUGUUGUGAAGGCAAGGUGGGGAUGGAAAUCAUGUAUGGUGUCUUGAGUGCAUUGGAGAAACAUUGGAAUAAAGCAACAUCUACUAAAUAAAUAAACCAUGUCUCUUCAUUUAUUUUUGGUAAUGUGUUGUAACCUAUUUUAACUGAGUGAGUUAGACAAAAAGGCUGUUUUCCCAAUAUUUCCAAAGCAAUUGAAAUAUCAGUCAUAGAAUCAUAGAGUUGGAAGAGACCUUACUGGCCAUCCAGUCCAACCCCCUGUCAAGAAACAAGGGUUGGACUGGAUGGCCCACAAGGUCUCUUCCAACUCUAUGAUUCUAUAAUUCUAUGAUCUUGAACCAGUAUGUUGCUUUGUGGUCUGUUCUUAUUGUUACUAUUUGGUUGUUAUACAGAUUUUGUCAGGGGAUGAUGGGGUGCAGAGUGGAUUCCAAAAAUUCAUCAUCCUGGUCUCACCUCCUUCUCCAGACUGUAUUCCCAUGCGGAGAAUCAGCACUGGUCAAGAAAACACUCCAGCAGGCGAAGUCCAACUGUUGAUUAACUUUAUUUACAUAACUAUUUACAGUUUGCAUUUCUCGGCUUCAGAGCAUAGCAUUCAUAGUCCAUCUUCAGUGAGAGCUCAAGCCGAACACCACACUGUUGUGUACUUAGCCCACUGUUGAAGAUGGUCUUUACCACUAUACUUUUUCAAGGAGUGUAUCUUUUGGGUCUAAACACUGGUCUACCAUGUGAUGUUAUAUAUAUUAGUUGCCUAUCUGUUAUUGGUGAUACUUGCAAUGCAGUUUAGUCAAAGAAGGUGAAGUAAAUAUGGUAUAUAAGGAGGAAGGAGGGAUAUAGGAAAUAAACUUAAAAUAAAUUACAUAGGAGGUGAAUGAAAUGAUUCACCUCUUUGAAGGUUCUUCUCUGAGAAAGCACCACAAAAGAUUAGUACUAAUGGGACCUCUUCUACACUGCCAUACAAAAUCCACAUUAUCUGCUUUGAACUGGAUUAUAUAGUGUAGAAUCAUAUAAUCCUGUUGAAAUCAGACAAUGUGGAUUUUCUGAUUUGAUGAUCUGAAUAUUAUGGCAGUGCACAAGGAGCCUGUUUUAGUGAAGCAAGGAACUGGUGGGGAGUGUAUUAUGUUAAAUAUGGGGGGAAAUGAACUUUUCUUCCAUUGCCAUGGUAGCUGAAUUGAGGCCAAACAUAACAGGGAGGAAGCAGAUAAGACUCUUUGCUUCCCACAUAAUAAUUACCAUCUAAACAUUAAGUCCACCUGUGAGAACUCCUUCUUCUAAAAGACAAAUAACGUUAUUAAUGGUACAUGGUGUUCAGCAACCAGAUAUUCAAUGGAGCCGUUAACUCUGGUGAAUGUGCCUUUUAAAAAAGGAGUGCGCCAUAUAAACAUGCCAAGCAAUGAAUUUUCUGAACCAAGACAUUAUCAUGGUCUGUAAGCUGAUGAGCCCAACCUCUCUCCUCCAAGAAAUGAGUCCUUUUUGUUUGAAAGACAUAGAUUGGAUGGCUAUGUCUUUUGUGGCCAAAUUUGGUGUGAUUUGGUUCAGUGGUUUUGUUGUUUACUCGGUCCUACAAAUGUACAUUACAUUUUUAUAUAUAUAUACCGUGUUUUCCCGAAAAUAAGACAGUGUCUUAUAUUAAUUUCUGCUCCCAAAGAUGCGCUAGGUCUUACUUUCAGAGGGUGUCUUAUUUUUCCAUGAAGAAGAAUUCACAUUUAUUGUUGAACAAAAAAAAUGAACUUUUAUUAUAUACUGUACAGUAGUUCUAAUCACAAACCAGCAUAACCAGACAAACUGUGAAUCCUAUCAAGAAUUUCUUGUUACUACCAUUAUUUCCAUGUACAACAGUCUAUGGUAUGUACAUUUACCAAUCCUGCAUGCUCUGGUGUUCUGUUUGGCGGGCAUGCUUCCAAACAAAAACUUUGCUAGGUCUUACUUUUGGGGGAGGCCUUAUAUUUAGCAAUC